rnacentral:rRNA from 1 species
AUUGAACGCUGGCGGCAUGCCUUACACAUGCAAGUCGAACGGCAGCACGGGAGCAAUCCUGGUGGCGAGUGGCGAACGGGUGAGUAAAGUAUCGGAACGUGCCCAGUCGUGGGGGAUAACGUAGCGAAAGUUACGCUAAUACCGCAUACGAUCUAUGGAUGAAAGCGGGGGAUCGCAAGACCUCGCGCGAUUGGAGCGGCCGAUAUCAGAUUAGGUAGUUGGUGGGGUAAAGGCUCACCAAGCCGACGAUCUGUAGCUGGUCUGAGAGGACGACCAGCCACACUGGGACUGAGACACGGCCCAGACUCCUACGGGAGGCAGCAGUGGGGAAUUUUGGACAAUGGGCGCAAGCCUGAUCCAGCCAUGCCGCGUGCAGGAUGAAGGCCUUCGGGUUGUAAACUGCUUUUGUACGGAACGAAAAGGUUUGGCUUAAUACGUUGAACUCAUGACGGUACCGUAAGAAUAAGCACCGGCUAACUACGUGCCAGCCGCCGCAGUAA